CUCUCAGCAGCACUGGGUGGGACUUCGGCAUCCCAGCCCUGGGAUGUCCAGACCCCCGCCCUGUCCAGGGGCCAGGUGUCAGGAACCAUGUGUGUGCAGAGCCAGCUCCUGGGCACAGUCCCAGCAGCUCCCAGGGACAGUGGGCUUGGUGACCAGCAAGUCCUUGAGGAGCAGCUGGGAGAGACUAGCGCCCUAGGAGGGUGGGGGCAGGCACAGUGUUGCUCGGAGGGGGCAGGGUGCCCCCCAGCUUGUGCGGUGAGGCAGCCGAAGCCUGGGACCGGCGAGGCCCCGCCCCAGCCCCCUGUUAGCCAAGGGGCGCCCCCAGCUCCCAGGCCAGUGCCCUCUCCCACUGUCCCUCUGGCCGCCCGUCUCCUCUCUCCGCUCCCCUUGCAGAGAUAACCGCCCUCUGACCUCCCCGCGCUGCUGCCGCCUCUGCUCCCUCGUGUGUGUUCCCCUCCCCCCUAAUCCAGCUAAUUUUCUGCCCCCAGGUCUGAUGACAGCGACUCCUCUUUGUCGGAGGUCCUGAGGGGCACCAUCACCCCUGUCGGAGGAGCCAAGGGCGCGCGGACGGCCCCGCUGCAGUGCGUCUCCAUGGCCGAGGGCCACAGCAAGCCCAUCCUCUGCCUGGACGCCACGGACGAGCUGCUCUUCACCGGGUCCAAAGACCGCAGCUGUAAGGUGUGGAACUUGGUCACGGGGCAGGAGAUCGUUGCUCUGAAGGGCCACCCCAACAACGUGGUCUCCAUCAAGUACUGCAGCCACUCUGGGCUCGUGUUCUCUGUGUCCACCUCCUACAUCAAGGUGUGGGACAUCCGGGACUCGGCCAAGUGCAUCCGGACUCUCACGUCCUCAGGCCAGGUGGUCUCAGGCGAUGCCUGUGCCGCGGCGUCCACGCGCAGCAUCACCAGCGCCCAGGGGGAGCACCAGGUCAACCAGAUCGCCCUCAGCCCCUCGGGCACCAUGCUGUAUGCCGCCUCGGGAAACGCCGUCCGCAUCUGGGAGCUCAGCAGGUUCCAGCCCAUCGGCAAGCUGACUGGCCACAUUGGCCCUGUGAUGUGCCUGACGGUCACCCAGACCGCCAGCCAGCAUGACCUGGUAGUGACCGGCUCCAAGGACCACUAUGUUAAGAUGUUCGAGCUGGGCGAGUGCGUGUCGGGCACUGUGGGCCCCACGCACAACUUUGAGCCCCCGCACUACGACGGCAUCGAGUGUCUGGCCAUCCAGGGGGACGUCCUGUUCAGCGGCUCCCGAGACAAUGGCAUCAAGAAGUGGGACCUGGAACAGCAGGAGCUCGUGCAGCAAAUUCCCACCGCGCACAAGGACUGGGUGUGCGCCCUGGCCUUCGUCCCGGGCCGCCCCAUGCUGCUGAGUGCCUGCCGCGCGGGCGUCAUCAAGGUGUGGAACGUGGACAACUUCACACCCAUCGGCGAGAUCAAGGGCCACGACAGCCCCAUCAACGCCAUCUGCACCAACGCCCGGCACGUCUUCACCGCCUCCAGUGACUGCCGGGUAAAGCUGUGGAAUUACGUCCCUGGACUCACCCCCUGCCUUCCUCGCCGAGUCCUGGCCAUAAAGGGCCGAGCCACCACCAUGCCCUGACCUCCCCCCUCCCCCCUACGUCCGCCCCCCUCCUCUUUCAGCCUCCCCCUCUCCUUUCCCCUCUUUCUCCGCUUCGAUCUGAGCUGCUUCUUCACGUGACCUGACGGUGAAGUUCUGGACUGCCCGGCGCUUACCCAGUGGCACCCGCUAGGAGUGAGGUCAGAGGGCCACCCGGCCCUCCGCCCAGCAGCCUGGACCCCGCGGAGAGGAAGCUGGGGCCAGAGGCCCCUCUGCUGCUCCCCGGCCUCUCCCCAGCCUCCUCACAGGGUACUGUCCACCCCCUCCUUGGGGACAGGGAGGUCGGGAGGAAUUAAGCUGUGAAGCCAAAGGGCGUUUCCCGUCGUCUCUCUCCUCUCCACCCCUGGCCUCGGUUUUCUCUUGCCGAGCUGGCCAAUGCCCUUCCUCCAGCCUUUGGCCCAGGGCAGGGCCUGUAGGGGAGGUGAGGCAGCCCCCCCACCGUGUUCCUCAGACGAGCAGGCCUCCCCUGCCUCCUCUGGUCCAGCCACUGCACCUGCCUCUGAGCCCAAAAAGAUAGCCCUCAGGUAACCGUGGAAACCAGGCGUCGGCAGCUGGGCGUGCAGCUGGCCUUCAGCCCCUCGGCCACCGGUAGCCGCUCCCCGAGGACCCCAGCGCUGCAUGGGCUCCUUUCUGAUUGGACCACAGUGGAGCUGCUGUAGAGCCUCCUUUGGGGAGAUGAGCAGGAUACUUCAAUGGUUUACCUUAUUUAUUUUUACUUCUGCUGUUGCCUCCUGGAAACUGACUUGAAGUUUCUUCCCACAUCUUCUUUCCCUCCUCUCCUGGGGGCCAGGAGUCCCCAAGGGGGUCCUACUCCCGCCCUCCAGGGCUGCCCCUCCAUUUGCUCUGCUCUGCAGCCCGGGCCUGCCCCCCUCCUUGCCCUGGAGACCACUUGAGUGCCCCGACUCUGGCCGCCUGCCGCGUCAGUGCCUUCCUCCGUCCGGGGCUGGCACCCUUCCUGGGCAGCCUUAACACCAGCCAUGCCCGCAGCGCCACAUGUGUCUUCUCACCACGGGGUCUCCUGCCCAUGGCCCCCGCAUCCCAGACCCGGGGCCCCACUGCCAGAGCCCUGCGUGGGCCACGUAGGAAGCAGCUCAGAGGCCCGUCCACCAGGACGUGGCUUGGAUGGUGCACCCGGCCCCGCCCCUCCCCAGCCCCCUGCAUCUCACCCCAACCAGGCAGAGCCCCUAGCUUCUUUCUCUGGUUUCUCCGGAGAUGCUUUUUCAAGCCUUAACCGGCACAGGGAAGGGGGCUCUCCCUUUAGAUCAGCGGAGGGAGGGACUUCACUGAGUUUCUUUGGGACUGUGAACUCCCAGCUCCAGAGACAUUGUUAAGUCCGCCUUCCAGCGGCAGGCGGGCCCGGGAGGGAGCACGCUGGGCCCGCCCCUCCCCCGCCCUGACCUGUCCGCCUGCUUUUCCGAUGGUUAACUGGCCUUGUGCUUCCCGGCCUUUCUGGGCGCCGGGAGCCACGGCUCUGUUUAGAGGACACGGUGACCUGGGUCUUCAGGAGGUGGCCCUGGGCUCUGCCCUCGGUGCCCCUCCCUCCGCGGCACCUGGCACACAGGGCAGAGGAGGGAGGAGUACGGCCUGUCCCCCUGCCCAGAGCUGCCCCUCAGGCUAAGGAAGUCGUCCUGCUGUGAGGGGCCCCUGCUGGAUGUGGGGGCGAAGUCUGAGCGAGCCGUCGUGCUGCAGGAAUGUGCCUGGAGCUUGGGACAGUCUACCUUUGGGACUGGAGGUCCCUCCUACUUGACCAUCCUGGGGCCUGCUCAGAAAAGAGUGUGAGCCUCCCUCAUCCCUCUCCCUCUCCGCCCCCAUGGGAAGCUUCAGUCUUGCAACCUGUAGGAAAGAAUUGUCUGCAUGACUGUUUACAAACUGUAGAAACACAAAAGACUGGCUGCCCAGCCUGGGGCGACCGGAUCGGCUGGACCGCAGCUGCAGGGUCUGUUGCAGCCCGAGAGGUGCCCGGCAUCCUUGCCCGCUUUCUGCUGUUUCUGCUGGGCCAGCUACCUCACGGUGGGGCCAGCUCUGCUGUCCGGGAGAAGCACUGACUCUGAACUUGAAGCCUUGGGAGCCACCCCAGCUGUGCUGCAGAGCGCUGAGGUCUGCCCGCUCCCUCAGGGACGUCGGGGAUCGUGGCUGGGGGCAGGCCCCCGCACCCCUCUCUGCACAAGCACCCUAAGGUCAGAAGCACAAAAUGGUGGUGACUUGAGCACAAUGCAGGGCUGGCGGCAGGCCGCCUGGGCAAGCCAGCCCAGGAGGCGCCCCCCAGACAGGCUCUGUCCUACGUAGACUGAGGGUGCCCACGCCGGGCUGCCCUGCUCAGACGGGGCUCGGCCCGAGGCCUGUCCUCCCCGAAGGCUGGCCCUGCAGGCAGGCUGCGCAGGCGGGCAGGGGGCCCAGGAGUGCUGCCCUCUUACCCCCGCAGGCCCAGGUCUCUACCCGAGCCCAGGCGCAUCCCAGCCCCGGGAGCCUAGCGAGCCUGCACCCACACCCCGGCUCCCGGGUUGAGCCCCGUGCAAGCGCUGAGGUGUCCUCCAUCCCCACUGCCUGCGUCCUCUCGGCACGGCCCUGUGCCAACCUCUGUCCUCAGUGUUAACCAGGUCAGUGUUUUCAUCCCUCUUGGGGCCUGACCCCUCGAAGGCAGCCCGUGGAGUUGACCCGGGAGCGUGCCGAGGAGGGAGAGAGGCGGAGAGGCAGAGGCCAGCACACCCGCGCCUUUGAGGUGGUCAGAGUGCCACUUCUCCCUCGGGAGGGGACAGCUGUGGAUCCGGGAGGGGCUCCCUGCCCACCCACCGUGGCCACGGUGUAGCUUAGGAAGUCUUCCGCCCUCGGUUGUCCAGUCCCGCUGCAGUUUAAAGCACAAACCACCGUAGGGAAGACUGUCCCCGGGACCUUCUCCCACCGCCCAGUUCGGUGGAGUUGCAGAUUCCUGCCCUCUCCCGUGGCAAGGCCCGUGUUCCCGGGGUGCCCGAAGCCGUCUGGGCUGGAUGCGGGCUCACCCCUGGUCGUCCAGCCACGGCCUGUGCCCAGUGUGCUCACCGGCUUGCUGUAGGCAGGGCCGGCCUGCAAGAACCCUGAGCUCCUUUCUGCCGAGCGGCUGAAGCCCAGUGUCUGCCUCUUUGCCACCCAGCCAGGAAACUGCAUGCUGCUCCUAGCUUGGCGAGGCCUCCUGCUGUGGGCUCAGGAGCUAGGGCAUGGCCAGUGCCCCCUACAGCCCUCCUCUCCUGGCCCCCAGACCCUUCCCGGCCCUCUGAUGUGCAAGGAUAGAGUUAUAGGGAAAUUCUGUUUUCCCUAAGGCAUCUUUGUGCUGUUCCCCCACUUCAGUGCUCAGAUGAGCUCCCAGUCCCCCACCACACCCCAGUCCAGCCCUUUGAACUGCUGUCCCAAGGGCCUUGCAGGGCCUUGUGUGAAGAGCCAAGGGUCAGAGAGGAACCCUGACGGGAAGCCCUGCCCUGCCCACCAGCUCUUUUCUCGCUGUCUCCUGCCCAGGCGCAGGCUUCGUCUGGCUCACGCCCCUGCUCUGGGUGGGUCGCACAGGUGUACAGAUAUUUUGUACCUCCGCCGAUGAUUGUACAUAGUGUAGGAACGUUAUUUAAGCCUCAUGCUGUACACUUCUGUUCCCAGACUGGAUGUGUGUGUUCUGAGAAACUGUCAUAAAUAAAACAUGAAUGACCACUGUC